GAGGUAUUAACAAGGGGAAAAAAGUAGAUGAACCAUUAUGAGAUACCAACUGAUUAUGAUAGUAAUUAACAUGCAUAUUUCUUGUUAUAUAGUGAAGAUGUUACUGAAUACACAGUCCAUAGUACAAAAUUGACAUUGUUCAUAUCAGACACUAAUAGACAUUAUUAAUUGUGGUCAACACGACAUAUGAAUUUAUGAUCAAUACCUAUAAAGACAAUAAAUUAAAGGUACAGUAAUGAUAGUAGUAAUUAAAAUUUCAUAAUCCUGAAAAAUUCUAAUGCUAUGCUUAAGCUUGAAGUUGAUGAUGAGUUUCUGAGUCCGAAAUGUGCUUCUUGUAUCGAGCAAUAAAAGCUGUAGCUCUCAUGUCAAUAACAGGAUCAGCUACCCCCCAUGUACCUUUGUCUUCAUCACUAGGCCAAAUUUUGGAAACUGGCUUUGGCCCUUCUUCAUAAGCUUUGUAAUUAUGCUUGCUUGAUUUGAAAAUGUUAAAAACAGAUAGAAAAGAUGAAGAUUUCCUUUGCCUAUUUUUGCCUCCCAUUAUGUGAAGAAAGACACUACUAGUGAGUGAGUUACCCUUCUUUGGCUUAUUGGUUAGAAUAAUGUUAGUGACUUGUAAGGAACUUGAAGUAGUUGUCUCAAUUUAUAGUUGGAGUCUCAAGGCUCAACAUGCAAGCUAGGCCACUUUGAGACUAUGAGAAUCUGAUUCAAACUAUUUCUAUGAUUAAUAUCCAUUGUCUAUAAAGCUGACAUGGAACAUUUGUGUACUGUUACAACUUUUGGUACAGGCACAUUUUUUGUGGUCCUCAGAUUUCAGUAAGUUAUAGGGUUGGUUUGAUA
rnacentral:lncRNA from 1 species